rnacentral:piRNA from 1 species
UUACUCAGUUUUUGAACGCGCAGUGCAGC